UGGCGGCGUGCCUAACACAUGCAAGUCGAACGGGAAAGUGGAGCAAUCCAUGAGUAUAGUGGCGACCGGGUGAGUAACACGUGACUAACCUGCCCUUGAGUGGGGGAUAACCUCGGGAAACCGGGGCUAAUACCGCAUAACAUCUUCAGGAUGAGAAGCUGGGGAUCAAAGGAGCAAUCCGCUUAUGGAGGGGGUCGCGGCUGAUUAGCUAGUUGGCGGGGUAACGGCCCACCAAGGCGAUGAUCGGUAUCCGGCCUGAGAGGGCGCACGGACACACUGGAACUGAAACACGGUCCAGACUCCUACGGGAGGCAGCAGUGGGGAAUUUUGCGCAAUGGGGGAAACCCUGACGCAGCAACGCCGCGUGGAGGAUGAAGUCCCUUGGGACGUAAACUCCUUUCGACCGGGACGAUUAUGACGGUACCGGUGGAAGAAGCCCCGGCUAACUUCGUGCCAGCAGCCGCGGUAAUACGAGGGGGGCGAGCGUUGUUCGGAAUUAUUGGGCGUAAAGGGCGCGUAGGCGGUGCGGUAAGUCACCUGUGAAACCUCUGGGCUCAACUCAGAGCCUGCAGGCGAAACUGCCGUGCUGGAGU
rnacentral:rRNA from 1 species